CUAGUACUCCCUCCGUUCGGAAUUACUUGUCUCGAAAAUGGAUGUAUCUAGAACUAAAAUACGUCUAGAUACAUCUAUUUCUGCGACAAGUAAUUCCGAACGGAGGAAGUAUCAU
rnacentral:pre_miRNA from 1 species